rnacentral:rRNA from 1 species
AUUGAACGCUGGCGGCAUGCCUUACACAUGCAAGUCGAACGGUAACGCGGGGCAACCUCGCGACGAGUGGCGAACGGGUGAGUAAUGUAUCCGAACGUGCCCAGUUGUGGGGGAUAACUGCCCGAAAGAGCAGCUAAUACCGAAUACGACCUGCGGGUGCAAGCGGGGGAGCGCAAGACCUCGCCCCACUGGAGCGGCCGAUAACAGAUUAGGUAGUUGGUGAGGUAAAGGCACACCAAGCCGACGAUCUGUAGCUGGUCUGAGAGGACGACCAGCCACACUGGGACUGAGACACGGCCCAGACCCCUACGGGAGGCAGCAGUGGGGAAUUUUGGACAAUGGCCGCAAGUCUGAUCCAGCCAUGCCGCGUGCAGGAAGAAGGCCUUCGGGUUGUAAACUGCUUUUGUACGGAACGAAACGCGCUGAGCUAAUACCUCGGCGUAAUGACGGUACCGUAAGAAUAAGCACCGGCUAACUACGUGCCAGCAGCCGCGGUAAUAC